UGGAGGACAUGACAUAGGGCAGUUCCCAGGACUGGAAUCUGUUGAUCAGACCACAAAGGCCCCGGCUUUAACACUCACUACAUGAAUUAUCCUGAACCAGUUUUUUUUUUUGACGAUUAGUUGGUCAAAGCGAGUGAACAAAAUAAGACUCACUAUCAGAACAAGCAAUCUGCUAUGCUGAUUAUAGACAUACUUGAUCUUAUAUCACUUUUGCUUAGCAGCUCAUGGAAAGGUUCCUACUUGAUGCCAUAUAAUCGAAGCCGAAUGGGAUUUCCUGCACCUUCGUUCUUAGGUUGAAAAGAAAACUACUCAGAAGUCAAACCCUAAUGUCAUUUGAAUCUCAGCUGGUGAGCAAGUUUACUAAAUGUUGAUUCAGAAAGAAAUUUUUGUAGCUUGAAUAUGCAGUGCGGUGUAGAUGCACGGCUACUAUGAGUACAUAUGGAUGAUUUGGUAGGUAUCCUAGAAAAAUAUUAUUAGUAGGUAGGUAGUUUUUCCCAAGGAAAUUAUUCUUGACAAUUCUGUGUUCUGGUCAUAAAAGGACUGCCAUUGCUAUGAAGUUUGUGAAUGAAAAUAGUGUUAUACUCGAGUCA